GGAUGGAUCAUAAGAACCUGGAGGCACUCCAAUCACCUCGAAGAUUAUCGCCUAAGCAGGUGGAUCUCUGGUAGAGGGGGCAGCCUGUCGGGCUCCGUUAGGGAUGAUAGAUGAUCUGAGCCCACCAGCUGCAGCGUCGGAGAAUGAUGACGUGUGAAGGGAUCCUCAGUCAUCCAUAACUUGAAGGAAAACUCCUAUCUGUGUUUGAUGGCUUGUUGGACGUUAAUUAGAUGAUUCUGCCAAAAGCCGAACUGAAAGAGAUAACAGCCAAUGCAGCUGUUGAAUCAACUGGGCUGAAGAAAGAGGUGAUGGGGAAGUUUAACUAUUUAGUUUACUCGCAAUGAGAUAGGAAGCAUGGGCGAUGGAUAGGUGAUAGGGAAGGAAAUAGUGGACUUAUUAGGUAAACGGGAUGAUGGGAAUAAGGGGUGAUUAAGGGAAUAAUUAGGGGCGUGGAUACGAGAUAGAAGCGUUUAGGUGGGUGUGUUUAUACCUUUAAAUAACACUGUAAGACAGAAGCUUCCAGUGCUAACACAGAGCGGUUGAGAUACCAUUCUUGUUAGAUGGAAAAUUGGUUGUUUGACAUUAAAAUCCUUGAAACCUGCUUUCUGCUCUGCAUGGUGGUUUGUGGUUUGUGUGCAGAACUGCAAGUUUUCAAAGACCGGCUGAGACCAGACAUAUUUCCCUAGGCUUUAAUACAUUUAAUAAAUAAACUUUAAUAAACUAAUAUUAAUAUAGUGAAUAACUUUAAAGGAUGGUCUAGCUGGCAUGUCCUCCAUCAAGAACAAGAUUGGUCAAUAUAUU